GCCCGGGUGGCGGAAUUGGUAGACGCUACGGACUUAAAAUCCGUUGAGAUUUUCUCGUGCCGGUUCGAGUCCGGCCCUGGGCACCA
rnacentral:tRNA from 1 species